UGUAGUAGCUAAAUAUCCUAAAGGUGCCAAAUCCCAUCUGAUCUUGGAAGCUAAGCAAGGUCAACUACGGCUAGUACUUGGAUAGGAGAUCACCAAUGAAUGCCUGGCCCUCUAGGC
rnacentral:rRNA from 1 species